UGCGCAGGCGGCCCUGUAAGACCGGCGUGAAAUCCCCGGGCUCAACCUGGGAAUUGCGCUGGUGACUGCAGGGCUAGAGUACGGUAGAGGGGGGUGGAAUUCCUGGUGUAGCAGUGAAAUGCGUAGAGAUCAGGAGGAACACCGAUGGCGAAGGCAGCCCCCUGGGCCUGUACUGACGCUCAUGCACGAAAGCGUGGGAGCAAACA
rnacentral:rRNA from 1 species